rnacentral:rRNA from 1 species
AGUGAACGCUGGCGGUAGGCCUAACACAUGCAAGUCGAACGGCAGCACAGUAAGAGCUUGCUCUUACGGGUGGCGAGUGGCGGACGGGCGAGGAAUACAUCGGAAUCUACUUUUUCGUGGGGGAUAACGUAGGGAAACUUACGCUAAUACCGCAUACGACCUACGGGUGAAAGCAGGGGAUCUUCGGACCUUGCGCGAUUGAAUGAGCCGAUGUCGGAUUAGCUAGUUGGCGGGGUAAAGGCCCACCAAGGCGACGAUCCGUAGCUGGUCUGAGCGGAUGAUCAGCCACACUGGAACUGAGACACGGUCCAGACUCCUACGGGAGGCAGCAGUGGGGAAUAUUGGACAAUGGGCGCAAGCCUGAUCCAGCCAUACCGCGUGGGUGAAGAAGGCCUUCGGGUUGUAAAGCCCUUUUGUUGGGAAAGAAAAGCAGCAGGUUAAUACCCCGCUGUUCUGACGGUACCCAAAGAAUAAGCACCGGCUAACUUCGUG